UAGCUCAGCUGGAGAGCAUCCGCCUUACAAGCGGAGUGUCGGCGGUUCGAUCCCGGC
rnacentral:tRNA from 1 species